UGUCAUUUUUUUAAAAAUUGAGACAAAACUUACAUAUAGUAAAUGUACAAUAUAGCUCAAUAACUUUUUACAUAUAGACACAUCUAUAGAACCACCAUCCAAAUGAAGAUACAAAUUUCUAGUGCUUCAGAAGACCACGUUGUGUCCCUCUCAGCCAGUACCAUCUCCACCUCCAACCCAAGGAUACACAGUUGAAAUGUCAUAUUACUGGAAUCUGGAGAUCACUUUGAUUAAAUUUUGCCUUGCAUAAAGCAGGCUAAAAGAAGUUAACCCUAACUGCCUCCACCAAUAAGAAAGAAUGUAUCUGAAUUCAGCACAAAUGGAAACUUGUAAUGUUCUACAGUCAGGUGAGAAUGAGGAAAUGCUCAGAUCUAAAAGGAGCUGUUGCUGUAAGGAAACCAUUUCCUUGAUAUCUGCAUGUUCAUCAUCUUAAGUCUCAGGCCCCCAGACAGCUGUCUCUUCAACUUCAGGAAAUUAGACGCCAAAAAGAAGACCUGAAAAACUGAAACAUGCUAAGCCUGUACGUUGCACAGGGGCCAGGCAAAACUAUAUUUAGGAUUAAUUUUGAGAGCUCUGGGUGGUUUUUGUUUUCUGUGUUGUGUUGUUGUUUUUAAUUUGCAGGGAAGCCUGGAUGUUAGAGUGAUUCGUGUACACAUCUUAGGUAGAGAAGCUAAUAAGUAGAUGUAAAGAAGUAAAACCGAAUUCAUUAAAACCUAGAGCAUUCAUUGACUUGUUUAUUGCUGAGUGCUGAGUAGCAAUCCACACACGGUGCAGUAUUUAUUUUUUUCAAAACAGAAACCCCCAUAACCUAUAUGAUGUUAACAAAGGGAAAUUGCAAAACAAUAACAAAAAAAGCAUUUUGGAAAAUAAACUCAUUUUCUUCGCAUUCUUCUUUCCAUUGCUUCUGAAAAUGUUUGAAAAUCAGUAGCAUUAUAAACUUUACAGUCUCAUUUCCCAAAUUGGCUUUCUUCUUUUUCUCCUCCCAAUCCUUGGUUAUAUUUGUCACCUUCUGUUUCUAUAGCACAUGGCUGAAGACCUAGCAUUGCAUCUGCAACAAGUACUCUGACUUUCUUCAUGAAUAUAAGUUUACAGGAAUGCCUGUAUAAAAAAAAAAACCCAUAGUAAGAGAUUACAAAUAUCACAUCCCUCUUAAAUCAGCUUCCUGACUUCCUUUAUCCCUUCAUGGGUCUGGUAUGUCAGCAACACUUGACAAUGUGAGGUUAAACUACUUGCUCUGCUUAUGAUCUCAUUCCCUCCUGCUAUCUCUUUCAGAACAAAGACCUUAUACUAUCAGUUGAUGAAUUUUCAGCCUCUUUGCCUCUACCUG
rnacentral:lncRNA from 10 species